GCCUGGGUGGCUCAGUCGGUUAAGCAUCUGACUUCGGCUCAGGUCAUGAUCUCGCAGUUUAUGAGUUUGAGCCUCACAUCAGGCU
rnacentral:tRNA from 1 species